rnacentral:pre_miRNA from 1 species
UUCCGGACGCAGCGGUUUACCGAUCUCUUCCUGGAACUGGUUAAAAUGGAGGUUGAUGAUCGCCAAAUGAAGUCAAAGAACAAAUACAGGAAUCGGUCGAUAAACCUCUGCAUCCGGC